rnacentral:siRNA from 1 species
UGUAAUUUGUAAUGUGCCUUUG